AGAGCGAACGCUGGCGGCAGGCCUAAUACAUGCAAGUCGAACGGACCCUUCGGGGUUAGUGGCGGACGGGUGAGUAACACGUGGGAACGUGCCCUUUGGUUCGGAACAACUCAGGGAAACUUGAGCUAAUACCGGAUGUGCCCUUCGGGGGAAAGAUUUAUCGCCAUUGGAGCGGCCCGCGUCUGAUUAGCUAGUUGGUGGGGUAAAGGCCCACCAAGGCUACGAUCAGUAGCUGGUCUGAGAGGAUGAUCAGCCACACUGGGACUGAGACACGGCCCAGACUCCUACGGGAGGCAGCAGUAGGGAAUCUUGCGCAAUGGGCGAAAGCCUGACGCAGCCAUGCCGCGUGAAUGAUGAAGGUCUUAGGAUUGUAAAAUUCUUUCAGCGGGGACGAUAAUGACGGUACCCGCAGAAGAAGCCCGGACUAACUUCGUGCCAGCAGCCGC
rnacentral:rRNA from 1 species